rnacentral:piRNA from 1 species
UAGGAAGCAUAUUUCCGUUGGGAACCAAG